GAGACCACAGGAGAGGCAGUUUAAUGGUGCCCUGCACUGAAUUUUUAGAGCCUUUCAUACAAUAAAAGAUACAUUUCAUCUUUACGCCACCUGUCUAAAUCACAAAAACGUAAAUUCGAUUAAUGCUGAAAGGCAGAAGCCCUGAGCUGCUUCUUCGCUUUGCUAUAUGUAGUGCCGUGGCUAGCUCUGGUUUAAUCUUCCGGGUGUAGUUCAAUAUAUUUCUGACCCAGCCAGGUAGAACGGAAGCCUUAGCUAUAUUUCCAAGCUCUUGGAGGUUUUAAGACAACCCCACAGCUUUCACUGGAAGUAGUUUUUGCAGUGUACUAAUAAAUAAUCUCAGGGAGAGCGCAGUUGUCCACAAGCAAACAUCAGCUGCAGAACAAAAAACAUUAGAAAAGGGAAGUAUUGACUUUAUUUUUGCAGCAGAUGUCUUUGCUGAAGUCCCUCCAUUCCCCACUACAUUUCUGCCAUGUUAAUUGUCAUAACUAUCCCCUAUAGUUCCUUAGUAGGAGAAUUGUAACAAUUAGCCCGUGACUUAACACCAGCUGUCUUGGCUUAGACAAGGCAAUGUGUUUUGGACUCUGAACACCUGCAAACACAGUACAUGGUGGAUGUUUGGAUGCUAAACCAAACAGCUGUUGUGUUUCAGAUUCAUCCUCUUGGGGGGGUAGAGGGAGAGAGCAUGAAAAAUGUCUGUAUGUUCUACUGCUGUAAUUUCCACUUUUGGAGCUUUAUUCUGUGGAUUUCAUUUCAGUACGCGGAGUCUCAGCUGAUUAAGGGAUGGUCCUAGCCACUAUCAGGAGAUUGUACAAUCUGUAGGAUUCCAUAUGUUACAUGGCUUUGUGACUAAUUCAGACUGACUCUCUUCUACCACCUCAAGCCAGUUCAUCCAUCUACCACCUUGAUCACUCCGCAGUUCCAGCGGAGCUGAUGAGAAGCUUGCCUCAGGCCAACCAACCCUCAUUUCAAGCAAUAUUAUGCACUCAAGUUACUCCAAGAUUGGAAGACAUUCAUUUUUACUCCUGAAAAUGACUUAGAAAGAAAAGAAAGAAGAAAGUGUCAUGAGGAAGUGUGAAGGGAAUGACCCCCAGCCCAACACUAUUCUUUGGUCAGCAAAAGCAACAUGCUCAGCGCCAUUACAGGAACAACAAAAGCCAUGCUCCUUUGCAGGAUGAAGGGAGAAGGAGAAAGAGAACAAAGAAGAUAAGAA